GUGGGGAAUCUUCCGCAAUGGACGAAAGUCUGACGGAGCAACGCCGCGUGAGUGAAGAAGGUUUUCGGAUCGUAAAGCUCUUUCGUUAGGGACGAACGUGCUCUUUGUGAAUAAUGAGGGGUAAUGACGGUACCUAAAUAAGAAGCCACGGCUAACUACGUGCCAGCAGCCGCGGUAAUACGUAGGUGGCAUGCGUUGUCCGGAAUUAUUUGGCGUAAAGCGCGCGCAGGCGGGAUAUCAAGUCUGUCUUAAAAGUGCGAGGCUCAACCUCGUGAGGGGACAGAAACUGGUAUUCUUGAGUGUCGGAGAGGAAAGUGGAAUUCCAAGUGUAGCGGUGAAAUGCGUAGAGAUUUGGAAGAACACCAGUGGCGAAGGCGACUUUCUGGACGAUGUCUGACGCUGAGGCGCGAAAGCUAGGGGAGCGAACGGGAUUAGAUACCCGUGUAGUCC
rnacentral:rRNA from 1 species